rnacentral:misc_RNA from 1 species
AUAAAUUUGAGAGAGGAGUU